GUCGCUCGUGGUGUACCCCAUAGGGUGCCUUCGUCUUCUUACCUCCCGCUGUCUCUCUGCGGAUCGCGACUAGGUCAGCGCAACAGCGUGCACUCGACUGUCAGUCAGCUCGUGGAUUUUUGCCAUGUUUUCGAAAAAUUGAACUGGGUCCCUUCUUUUCUGCGAGUUGCGCGUGGCUCUGACAGCCCUGGUCGACGAACGUCUUUUCCUGCCGAGAAAGGACGUGUAUAGUCUCAAGCAAAUGGCGAUGCCUUCACGCAGCGAGCAAAAGAAAAACCAGCAGUGGUCCUUUUCACGCUUCAUUACACCGUCUGCGGCGAAGAUCGUUUUAUCCAGAGCCCAGAUAUCGGCGCGUGCUCCAUCGACGAAACAGGUUCCUUGCAGAUCUCAAUCAAGUACGACUUAUGGCAAGUCUACGAGAUACGACAACAUUCGCCAUGAGAAGUGGCUCUUCUGGUUGUAGGACAAGCGACGCCGGAAUCUACCACGUGACCACGCCGCGGAUGUUGAACCAAAUCCUGACAAUUCUCAUCAUGCUCGACACGCCUACCUUUACUACUACUGUUACCAAAUGUAUUCUAGCAGAUGUGUAUUCUAGCAUCGUGUCUUAUGGCCGUUACUCAUUUGUUAGGCAAAACAGCACGAAGCAAAUAUUUACCGUCUUUGGAACAUUCCCAAGAAUUCGUACAUGUGGACGUGGCGCCAUCUUUCGGCGGUAUACGAACGGCAGCCUGCCAUAACUGAAAGGGGUAUACAUGAGAAAAAUCAUAUCUCUUGAAAAAAAACUAGUUAUCAAAAACAACUCCGGGCUGUAUGAAGCAGAGACCUACUGGUACGAUUUAAUAAAACUGAUGUAUUGCACUGCAAAAAAAUGCUGCUUCCCGAGACAAUCGAACACCGCCCUUAUAAACACAUGGGGCCCCGUUGUUAAGUAAUAAAUACUCUGGGAUUCCGUGUACUUUGUAGUGCGGCCUGUAAUUUUGCCAGACUGGUCAAAUAAAUAUCAGCUGUGUAGAGCCUGGAAUCG